AGUAAACUUGGUCAUCCAUGCACCGACUGUAGCUUGCUUGCUAAUUUUCACCUUUAUAUGCUUCCAGUGAUCCUGUGAGCAUAUGCUAAUACUCCUUAACAUAAAUGUCACUUAUCAUCGCCAUCGUCACUGUCUUGCUGGAAUCGCAUCCUCUAUCUGCAAACUGAAAUAAUAGCAACAUCAAAUCCCUCUUGAAGGGCUCACCCUA
rnacentral:rRNA from 1 species